GAAAGUAAUAAAGAGCGUAUGGGGGAUGCCUAGGCUCUUGGAGGCGAAGAAGGACGUGGUAAGCUGCGAAAAGUCGCGGGGAUUUGCAAACGAGAAUUGAUCCGCGAAUAUCCGAAUGGGACAACCCGGCAGGCAGAAGGCCUGUCACCCAGCAAUGGGGGCUAACCCUCUGAACUGAAACAUCUAAGUAGGAGGAGGAGAAGAAAGAAACAUCGAUUUCCAAAGUAGCGGCGAGCGAAAUGGAAGGAGCCCAAACCGGUAUUGUUACGGCAAUGCCGGGGUUAUAGGACUGCGAGAUUCGAAGGACAAAGAACUGGAAAGAUUUGGAAAAGUCGACCAUAGAGAGUGAAAGUCUCGUACAGGUAAUUGAGUUCAAAGAUAGCAGUAUCCUGAGUAUGGCGGGACACGAGGAAUCCAGUCAGAAUUUGCCGGGACCACCCGGUAAGGCUAAAUACUCCCAAGAGACCGAUAGUGAACCAGUACUGUGAAGGAAAGGUGAAAAGAACCCCGAACAGGGGAGUGAAAAAGAACCUGAAACCAUACGCUUACAACCUGUCGGAGCGGCUUUGUGCCGUGACGGCGUGCCUAUUGAAUAAUGAGCCUACGAGUUACUAAUCACUGGCGAGGUUAAGUGCUAGGAAGCACGGAGCCGAAGCGAAAGCGAGUCUGAACAGGGCGUUUAGUCAGUGGUUGUAGACGCGAAACCUUGCGAUCUACCCUUGAGCAGGAUGAAGGUUGGGUAAAGCCAACUGGAGGUCCGAACGAAUAAGCGUUGAAAAGCUUCUCGAUGACUUGAGGGUAGGAGUGAAAGGCCAAUCAAGCUGGGAAAUAGCUCGUACUCCCCGAAAUGCCUUUAGGGGCAGCGUUGUAAUAAAGAGUCUACUGGAGGUAGAGCUACUGAUUGGAUGCGGGGGCUUCACCGCCUACCAAAUCCUGACAAACUCCGAAUGCCAGUAGUAUGAUUUACAGCAGUGAGUGACUGGGUGCUAAUGUCCAGUCGCAAAAGAGGAACAACUCAGACCAGCAACUAAGGUCCCGAAGAAUAUGCUAAGUUGAUCUAACGAUGUUUUGUUGCAGAGACAGCUAGGAUGUUAGCUUGGAAGCAGCUAUUCAUUCAAAGAGUGCGUAACAGCUCACUAGUCGAGCGACAGAGCGUGGAUAAUAAACGGGCAUCAAGCAUAUCACCGAAGUUCUGGGCGCGAGAGCGCGGUAGGGGAGCAUUCCAUUCAGCGUCGAAGCAGUUUCGUGAGGAAUUGUGGAGCGUAUGGAAAAGCAAAUGUAGGCAUGAGUAACGAUAAUGCGGGAGAGUAACCCGCACACCGCAAGACCAAGGUUUCCUGAUCAACGCUAAUCGGAUCAGGGUUAGUCGGGUCCUAAGGGUAAGCCGAACGGCGAUCUCGAUGGAUAAUCGGUUAAUAUUCCGAUACUAACAUAUACCUCGAUGGAGAGACGAAGGAACGUAAGUGCCGCCACCUGACGGAAUAGGUGGUUAAAGGGCGUAGGUAUAGGGGCAGAUUAAGAGUUAGUCCUUGCUGAAACCUGACAGUACAGAGAGCCUACGGGCAAUUUGAUAGAGCACCCAAGUCGACUUCCGAGAAAAUCUUCUAAGUUAUAGUAUAUGUUACCCGUACCGUAAACCGACACAGGUGGUCGAGGAGAGUAUCCUAAGGUGCUCGAGUGAAUCACGGUUAAGGAACUAGGCAAAUUAACCCCGUAACUUCGGGAAAAGGGGUCCCUAUGAAAGUAGGGCGCAGCGAAGAGGUCCAGGCGACUGUUUAUCAAAAACACAGGGCUCUGCAAAUUCGAAAGAAGACGUAUAGGGCCUGACACCUGCCCGGUGCUGGAAGGUUAAGAGGGGAUGUCAUCGCAAGAGAAGCAUUGAAUCGAAGCCCCAGUAAACGGCGGCCGUAACUAUAACGGUCCUAAGGUAGCGAAAUUCCUUGUCGGGUAAGUUCCGACCUG
rnacentral:rRNA from 1 species